rnacentral:rRNA from 1 species
UACGUAGGGUCCGAGCGUUGUCCGGAAUUAUUGGGCGUAAAGAGCUCGUAGGCGGCUUGUCGCGUCGACUGUGAAAACCCGCGGCUCAACCUCGCGCCUGCAGUGGGUACGGGCAGACUAGAGUGCGGUAGGGGAGAUUGGAAUUCCUGGUGUAGCGGUGGAAUGCGCAGAUAUCAGGAGGAACACCGAUGGCGAAGGCAGAUCUCUGGGCCGUAACUGACGCUGAGGAGCGAAAGCGUGGGGAGCGAACAGG